rnacentral:lncRNA from 1 species
GGGGGGGUCUCCCCCCCCAGCACGAGUGAGGGUUGAGCUGGCCUCUCCCACAGUGAUGCCGAACCUGUCCUGGGAUGAGGAGGAGGAGGCGGCAGAGGAGGAAGAGUCUGCAGAGGAGUCCCCCGAGAAGCCCCCCAAGGCCCAGGCUGCCAAGAAGGGCAGCGUCGCCAAGGAACAGCGUCUCCUCCGAGGAUCCCCUUCCCAGCAAGGUAGGAGCCGGCCGUGCUGCCGGGGAGUCUCCGUCUGUGUCCUGUGCCUUCCCAGUGGCUCCCUCUCCGCCCCUGGCUGGCUCCGGGCAGGCUCUGAGCUCCCGUGGGACCACAGGGCCUGCCUGGAUUAAUCCUGCUCGAUCAGGACUGAGAGCCCUUGGGGAAGGAAAGGGACUGACACGUGAUGCUCAUCAUGGUCCUGGCUGGUUGCUGGACUCUCUAAAAUGGGAGAGUAAUGAAGGGCCCGGGAAGGUCGGGUUGUCCUGGCUGGGCUCGGCCUGGGCUCCCUGUGCUCAGCACCGCGCGGCUGUGGUAAGCCGUGGUCUUGGUCCUCUGGCAGGGGCGAGGAGCAGGCAGGGGGAAGAAGCCAGCAGCAAAGAAGUAGUGUGAGCUACAGCAGGGCCUGGCCAG